rnacentral:lncRNA from 1 species
CGCCACGCCAGUCGACUUCUUCCUCCUCGUACGGGUCGUCGUAGUAGCCGAGGUUGGUACGUCUCUUGUCCUUGAUUUUCCUCUUCUCUUGUCUUCUUGUCAUUACUCGUCGAUAGAGUGAUACUAGUAUUUAUGUUUAUGAGAGCAACUCCAACCCAAAUCCCUAAAUUAAAUCUCUAAAUUAAGGCUUUUAAAUUUUUAUUUACAUGCUAUGAUAAAAAAGUAGAAGUUCAAAUUAAGACCCAACUCUAACCCACCUCAUAAACAAAUAGAAUAGAGGGUUCUAGAUGUGAUGGGUUGAAAUUAUAAUUUAGAAGGGCAUGGAAAAUGGCCAAUGGGAGCCCAAGAGGUGGGUUGGAGUUGAUUUUUUAAAUUAAGUCUCUAGAUUUAGAAUAGGGACUCGUUUAGAAGGUGGCUUGGAGUGGAGAUCCUAUUGGAGUUGCUAUGAUAGAGUUAACAGGUAGUAGAUUAUAUUUAUGGGAGAAUAUAUAUUUUUAAUAAAUUUAUUUAAAUUUUGAUGUAAUUUUUUAUUAACACAUAGUUAAAUUUUAAAAAAUUUAACAGUAGUUACAGUGUUUAGAACGGAGGAAGUAUCCAAUGAGAGUGUCUAGUUUUUGUGUAAGAUGUGGAAAAUGAAAAAUUCCUUUCGGAAUAAUCCCUUAACCAAACUCAUUGAAAUGGAUGCGUGCAAACCAAACUUUAUCAACCUUAACUAGGUUUAUAGAAAAUAUGUGCAAUAUUUAUAUCUUCAAAUAAUUUUACUAUAAAAAUUUUUAACGAUCUAUCUAUUAAUACUAAUUAUGUAUUGUGAAUUAUGAUGAUAAGUUAUUAUGUAAAAAAUUAUGCAUACAAUUUGUAUGUAUAGCUUUGUAAUUUUCUAAAAAUAAAAAAAUUAUAAAUAUAUUAAGAAAUCACUAUGAAUAAGUUUGUCCGUAAAUAGUUAGGCUAUCCUCAGGGAGAGUUCCAUAAUAUAGUUUCCAGUAUAUCCAUAUUUUCAAAAAAAUGGAUGAAACUCUCUCUUUGCUUUCAUUAAUUUUUUAUAAUCUCUCUCUUCAUUAAUACAGUGUCACAUCAGCAUAUUUAAUGUUCAUAAAACUCUAAUAAAACUGCAUUAAAACUGGCCUUAUGAACAAAAGUUGACCAUUAAAAAUUGCAUACAAAAGUUAUAAUGACAAGUUGUCUAUAUAAUAUUAUUAAAAAUAUGUUAACUAAGUUAUGCCUCAUAAACUAUGCGUAAAAGUUAUGUGUAUAACUUUAUAGUUCUUAAAAAAGGUUGUGGAAAUAAUUUUUCUAGAAAAAAAAGUCACGGAGCGCUAUGGAUUGAGGGUAUGUUUGGUUCCUUUGCUAAAUUUUAGUUAUUUUAGUAAACUUCUAAAUAUAUUGACUAAAAAGAGCUAAAAUAGUUUAGUCCUACUAGCGACCUAAGAGUAGCUAAAAUAAUUUUAGUUGGCUAAAAUUUAGCAAGAGUGAUUGACCUUCCUUGAUUAGUUGAGCCUAUUCUUUUCGAUACAGCGAUGACACCAUUAAAUAUCCAUCAAUAUGCUCACCGAGUUCUUAUAUGUUGAAAGAUAGUAAAAACAAAUUCAAAUACAUUCACUAAGUAUUGUAUCAUUUACAAUAUUGCUUUAGGAUUUGUUCUUUACUUUUUUUAAAAAAAAGUAUGGAAGCCUUUCUCUUCACCGAGUGAUCGGAAAAAUAAAAAGCACCAUAGAGCAUCUCCAAGAGUUUUCAUAAAUAUGAUGUUUGUUAACUCCUAAAUUAGUAUGAAGAGAAAAAAGAAGUCAUCUCCAAGAGUUUUCUAUAUUUCUAUUUUGAAAGUUUUUUUCUUGAUACUUUUUCCUAUGAUCCAGUCUCAUGUUUUGUAUCAAGAACUCUAAACUUAUUUAUGUACGUGUUUAAGUCCUUUCACCAGAUCUUUCUUUCUUAUGUUUUUCUCAUCUAGAAUCAUGUAUUUCUUACUUUUUACUAGAUGGGUCCGGAAACUCCAGAUGAGGGUUCCUAUAUGCGCGCUCGGGAUAAUUUUUGCGGGGUUGGAAAAGAUGGGAGGGAAGGUGCCAAACUAUUGGAGAUGGUUUUUUCUUAUUUUACCAAAAAAAAUGAAGGAUGGGAAAGCCAAAUGGCAAAUUGUUGGAGAUACUCUUAGUGGUUGUUCAUGUGGGAAUUUAACUUCGCCACGGAAAUCAGUCCCAAACUUUGGAGUUGAAAUCUUUGGUUUCUAUAACAAAAUCAACUUGCAAGAAAAAGAAGCAGAGUGAAGAUGACUUCGCAUGAAGGAAUUCGUCUUCACUCAGAAACAAAGAGAAACAAAAACUAGUGAAGGCAAAGAUUUGACUUCGCUUAACAUUCAGAAGUCGAAAUAAAGUGAAAAUCAACCAAGUACAAAGGUGAAGACUCCAAAAAGAUUGAAGAGCAAAAAUAGAGGAAUAAAGGUUUGCAGAGAGAA